UAUAUUUUUUGUGUUGCAUUA
rnacentral:piRNA from 1 species